rnacentral:lncRNA from 1 species
GCUUGGCCGUGCUGAAGACGAAGAGCAUUCCAGUGACUUUGAGCCAGAAGAAAAUGGUGAUGGUGCUGAGGACGAGGAGAUUGAGGAUGAUGAUGCUGAGGAUGGUGAGGAUUCUGUCAAGGCGCAAUCCUCUUCGAAGAGGAAGAGGUCUGGCGCGGAGGAUGAAGAUGAUGAUGACGGUGAUGAUGAUGGUGAUGAUGAUGAGAAGCCUCCAUCAAAGCGAUAGUCAAUUUGUUCUUGCUGAUCUGGUAUCUUUUCUGCUUGGGCCAAGAAGGAAAAUAAUCCUCACGGAGAGGGUUGUUGGUAAAUGCUGUAGCUUUAGGACAUCUGUGGUAGGUGUAGCAGCUCGAACUUGAGUCUACCCAUGUUAGUUGUUAGUGCAUACUGCUGAUGUUGAUUAACAGCCUCGGGGAACUUCUGUAUGAGCAUUAGAUAUGGGGCUUGUUAUAUGCUUGUGUAGCUUCUGAUUAAAACCUGUGGAAUGUGGAUGCUCUGUUCUGAAUCUUGUUUUCAUGAUAUUUCU